ensembl:lncRNA
ACACGAUGAAAGGCAUCCGAAAGCUAUCACACAUAAACCCAAAACUCAUUUUCCAGGAGGUUCAAGCCACCUUCUGAUAACAAAACGCCUCCGCUUGUGUUAAUCAAAACGUAACAACAUGACGCAAUGCUUGCAGCUCCGAGUUGUAAGUCCGAUGUAACACCUCUCCCCGAAAAUGUGUUCUUAUUUUUCCUGCCCAACGUCAUGACCCAAAAUGUUCAUUUUGCCAUUAGGCAAAGAAUAAUAGUGAAAAGCAGAUGUUAGGGGGGGCCGAGCAGCUUCGGACGGAGGGCGGCCAUGUUUAAUGAAUGAUGAAUGAAUGAACAGCCGAGCCAAAGAAGACGGGGUUGCUUUUUCCCUUCUCUUGACAUAUCGCAUGCUAGCACGUUAUGCAUAUUUCAUACAUGUCUGGUUGGGCUGCUGCUUGCCGAGGGAGCCGGGCAGAUGUUGCCUUCGUCUGUGUGUGUGUGUGUGUGCGACUGUGAGGUUUAGGGAUGGUACACGGAGACAAAUAUUUACCUUUACAGGUGGAAACACACUUACAUUCACAGAAAUAAUGAGGAAUCUGAACAGGAUUUAAAAUUGAUUCCAACAUUAAACUGGAAUCUUAUUUGCAGAGACUCGUCACGAUGAUGUUGAUUGACGAUAAAAUAUUAGGAAAAGGACAUUAAAACUUUAUGGUUGGAAUUGAAAUAACUAACGUUGGGUUUAGGAACCAUAACCAGAUUAGUCGGGUUCAGGAGUACUUUCAAGAAAGUAAGUUUUAGACAUAAAGCUCCACUUUGGAUGUGGAAGACAUGUUAAAAGAGGUUUUUCUGUAGAACGAUUGUUUGAUUUGGUGCAUAAAGUCACUUUUGCAUCAACUGAUCGACACGUUUUUUUUUCGCAGCCUGUCACAACAACAAGUUUCCUUCAUUCCAGUGUCUCUGAGGUCAGGUAGGCGCUGAGGUGCGUUUAGCUUUCCUUUGCGUUAGUAUUAGAGGUGCUCUUACGUCACAGCGGCCUGCAAGCACUGAGACUGAGUACUGAGACGAAUUCUUUCAUUACAUUUCAAGCAUUGAGAAGCAAAAGCCAGUUAAAAUGGUCUACAAGCAACUAUUACCCAGGAGUGCAAAAGCUCAUCAGCACAAUACUGGAAUAAAGCGACGGAUGCAAUAUGGCUGUUUCACACGAAGAAUCCUUUAGACACAAAUAGAGUAUCACAAAUGUUCUUUCUUAGAAAUAACUAGUUUUCAUUGUUGUCGUUUUUGUUUCCCAGCGACAUCGCCAGGCUUCCAAAGAAACAAGGCAUUGGGGUUUUAUGUUCCUCAAAAGCAAGAAUGCAGCAGUGAUUUGGAGGAAACUAUGCGUAAAUUAUGUAAAUAAUCCCAGGAGAUGAUUCAUUUUGCUCUUCGUCUCGCUGCUUCCUCAUGCGUCAUGCAUGGAUGUCGUUCGAUGCCGCUUUCAAUCCACUCUCCAUUUGUUCAGCGGCAACGCGAGCGAAAACCAGACCAACCCCAAAGCCUUCGGCUCCAUCGACGUUCCUCAACUCCUCGUGAGGCUCGAGAAGCGGCGGCAGUUGGC